UUUUCAGAGGCAUCUUCUAAUGCUAGGGUUUUUGGAUCUUUUCUGCUUCUUGAUUUGCUCUUGGUUUGGGGAUUUGUUUGAAUUAUUUUGACUUGUUUUUAUUUCAGAGUCUUAAAUUUUGGAUUUUGUGCAGAUUUGGGGUGGAAUUUGCUGGUUUUCUUUUGUAUAUUAGCUUGGAUUUAGUUGUCUGUUCCAAAAUGUGUAAUUUUGGAUGGCUUUUUAGGGUUAUGUGGCUUGUUGUUCAGCUGAUUUUUGAUUUAGAGGUUUAUAGUUAUGCAGAAGUUGCAGGCUUUAUUUGAGUUUGGUUUCUGAGGAAAAUCCUUUGUGAAUUUGUAGGUUAAUUGGAAUUUUCUUGUUAUAUUUUUGUUUUCUUCAGGUGAUUUGGUGCCAUGUGAAGCUGGGAAUUAGAAGCCUUUUUUGUGGAUAAAGGGAUGUUUGUAUGGUUAUCGGAAAAACUAACCGAGGUAUCUGAUGGAAAAAGAGUGAUUUGGAUCAUAAAGCUGUUUUUGGUUGGAAGAUAGAACUGAUUGCUUUAAACACAUGUAAUCUUUUAGUGUUGUUGAGCAUCUUCAAAUGGUCAAAUUGGAUGUGUAAUUAUUGGAAUGUUUGCUGGAGACUCAAAUGAUGGAUAUGCAAGCAUGAUAACUUACAUGCUGUUCUAUCGAUUCCCGUACUAAUGGCUAUCAAAAUGGGAGCAGCCUAAAUUGUAAAAGCAGGUUUGUGGUAGAGCAAACCAAACAUCUGCUACACCCUAGAUGGCUGAGAGUCCAGUAGCCGAAAGAUCACUAGCUUACGCCCAAGCCCGAGUAGCAUGGGGGCACAUGGAAUCCCGUGCGAAAUACACGUAAGUGACCGAUAAUGAAGUAGUACCACGAGGGAAAGGCGAAAAGAACCCCCAUCAGGGAUCCGAUAAUUUUCAAUCGAGACACUUACGACAAGCAGAAGUUUCUUCUGCCUUUUGUACCAAAAUCUCGCAGAUGAUGAAGGGCCAUAACGUAACCGAUCCCAAUUUCUUAUGUAAGAGACUCCAUCUGAAUAAUUGCAGAAACGUCAUUGUGAUCAUCCUGAUCAGUCUUGUGUUGAUCCAGUUCUUAUCUUAAUGCAACCAAACCCGGCCACAACAUUAGAAAUUGUAUCAUGUUAAUUUUUCUCUGCUUGUUUAAUCGACGUUGAAUGCCUAUGUGCCUGGGUUUCUUUCUUGCAAAUUUUUAAGCUAUGAAUAUUUUUGCCUAGGAUUAUGUCAGUGUACACAUUUGCAGAUGAUUUUAUAUCAAAUUCAUGCUUUGAUUUA